UUGACGGGGCCGCACAAGCGGUGGAGCAUGUGGUUUAAUUCGAUGCAACGCGAAGAACCUUACCUACUCUUGACAUCCAGAGAAUUUGCUAGAGAUAGCUUAGUGCCUUCGGGAACUCUGAGACAGGUGCUGCAUGGCUGUCGUCAGCUCGUGUUGUGAAAUGUUGGGUUAAGUCCCGCAACGAGCGCAACCCUUAUCCUUUGUUGCCAGCGAGUAAUGUCGGGAACUCAAAGGAGACUGCCGGUGACAAACCGGAGGAAGGUGGGGAUGACGUCAAGUCCUCAUGGCCCUUAUGGGUAGGGCUUCACACGUCAUACAAUGGUCGGUACAGAGGGUUGCCAACCCGCGAGGGGGAGCUAAUCCCACAAAGCCGAUCGUAGUCCGGAUCGCAGUCUGCAACUCGACUGCGUGAAGUCGGAAUCGCUAGUAAUCGUGGAUCAGCAUGUCACGGUGAAUACGUUCCCGGGUCUU
rnacentral:rRNA from 1 species